AGCAGGGUAUCUCAGUUGGUUAGAGAGCUCGGCUCAUACCCGGGAUGUCGUGGGUUCAAGUCCCACUCCUGCUACCA
rnacentral:tRNA from 1 species